UACGUAGGGUGCGAGCGUUGUCCGGAAUUACUGGGCGUAAAGAGCUCGUAGGCGGUUUGUCGCGUCGUCUGUGAAAACCCGCAGCUCAACUGCGGGCUUGCAGGCGAUACGGGCAGACUUGAGUACUGCAGGGGAGACUGGAAUUCCUGGUGUAGCGGUGAAAUGCGCAGAUAUCAGGAGGAACACCGGUGGCGAAGGCGGGUCUCUGGGCAGUAACUGACGCUGAGGAGCGAAAGCGUGGGUAG
rnacentral:rRNA from 1 species